CCAGCCCAACUGACCGAUUCGAUUACUACAAUUAAUCCUCAAUCCAAAACAUUUAGUACUACGAUUAUAGUAUAGGAGAUAGAAAUUCUACUUGGAGCUAUAGAGGAAGUACCGUAAGGGAAUGAUGUAAGAAAAUUUAAAGUAAUAAACAGCAAAGAUUACCCCUUGUACCUUUUGCAUAAUGAAUUAGCUAGAAUAAUUUAGCAAAGAGACCUUAAGCUAAGCCUUCCCGAAACCAGACGAGCUACCUAUAAACAAUCCACAGGGAUAAACUCAUCUAUGUCGCAAAAUAGUGAGAAGAUUUAUAGGUAGAGGUGGAAAGCCUAACGAGCCUGGUGAUAGCUGGUUACCCAGAAUAGAAUUUCAGUUCAACUUUAAACUUGCCUCACCACUUUCCAAUUAUAAUGUAAGUUUAAAAUAUAAUCUAAAAAGGUACAGCUUUUUAGAGCAAGGCUACAACCUUAUUUAGAGAGUAAAACUAUUGUAGGA
rnacentral:rRNA from 1 species